rnacentral:misc_RNA from 1 species
AAAGUCGUAACAAGGUUUCCGUAGGUGAACCUGCGGAAGGAUCAUUAUCAUUACGUUGGGGCCUGAGCUCCGGUGGCGGGCCCUCCGUGUAAACCCAUCCGUGUACCUUUCCUGUUGCCUCCGUGGGUGCCGUCGGUGCCCGCGGGGGGUUAUAGAGAAAACUAUUUUUUUGCUUCUUCAUGCCAUCAUGUCUGAAAGUAACCAAAGAAAAGAUUAAAACUUUCAACAACGGAUCUCUUGGUUCUC